rnacentral:rRNA from 1 species
UGGGGAAUUUUGGACAAUGGGCGAAAGCCUGAUCCAGCAAUGCCGCGUGUGUGAAGAAGGCCUUCGGGUUGUAAAGCACUUUUGUCCGGAAAGAAAACGUCGUGGUUAAUACCCGUGGCGGCUGACGGUACCGGAAGAAUAAGCACCGGCUAACUACGUGCCAGCAGUCGCGGUAAUACGUAGGGUGCAAGCGUUAAUCGGAAUUACUGGGCGUAAAGCGUGCGCAGGCGGUCCGCUAAGACAGAUGUGAAAUCCCCGGGCUUAACCUGGGAACUGCAUUUGUGACUGGCGGGCUAGAGUAUGGCAGAGGGGGGUAGAAUUCCACGUGUAGCAGUGAAAUGCGUAGAGAUGUGGAGGAAUACCGAUGGCGAAGGCAGCCCCCUGGGCCAAUACUGACGCUCAUGCACGAAAGCGUGGGGAGCAAACAGGAUUAGAUACCCUGGUAGUCCACGCCCUAACGAUGUCAACUAGUUGUCGGGUCUUCAUUGACUUGGUAACGUAGCUAACGCGUGAAGUUUGACCGCCUGGGGAGUACGGUCGCAAGAUUAAAAACUCAAAGGAAUUGACGGGGGUCAUAGCUGUUUCCUG